rnacentral:rRNA from 1 species
UAGUCCACGCCGUAAACGAUGAGUACUAGCUAUUGGGGGUAUUGACUCCUUCAGUGGCGCAGCUAACGCAUUAAGUACUCCGCCUGGGAAGUACGGUCGCAAGACUAAAACUCAAAGGAAUUGACGGGGGCCCGCACAAGCGGUGGAUUAUGUGGUUUAAUUCGAAGCAACGCGCAGAACCUUACCAAGACUUGAAAUCCUUCGAAUCCCGAGUAAUUUGGGAGUGCCCGCAAGGGAAUGAAGUGACAGGUGCUGCAUGGCUGUCGUCAGCUCGUGUUGUGAAAUGUUGGGUUAAGUCUUCGCAACGAGCGCAACCCCCAUCUUUAGUUGCCAGCAUUAAGUUGGGCACUCUAGAGAGACUGCCCGGUUAACCGGGAGGAAGGUGGGGAUGACGUCAAGUCCUCAUGGGCCCUUAUGUCUUGGGGAUACACACGUAAUACAAUGGUGCAUACAGAGGGGAAGCGAUCACGCGAGUGUUAGCAAAUCUCAAAAAGUG